rnacentral:rRNA from 1 species
AUUGAACGCUGGCGGCAGGCCUAACACAUGCAAGUCGAACGAGUGGCGGACGGGUGAGUAAUGUCUGGGAAACUGCCCGAUGGAGGGGGAUAACUACUGGAGACGGUAGCUAAUACCGCAUACCAUCGGAUGUGCCCACAUGGGAUUAGCUAGUGGGUGGGGUAACGGCUCACCUAGGCGACGCUGCCUAGCUGGGCUGCGAGGAUGACCGGCCACACUGGAACUGAGACACGGUCCAGACUCCUACGGGAGGCAGCAGUGGGGAAUAUUGCACAAUGGGCGCAAGCCUGAUGGAGCCAUGCCGCGUGUAUGAAGAAGGCCUUCGGGUUGUAAAGUACUUUCAGCGGGGAAGCGUUACCCACAGAGGAAGCACCGGCUAACUCCGUGCCAGCAGCCGCGGUAAUAC